CCUACGGGGUGCAGCAGUCGAGAAUCAUUCACAAUGGGGGAAACCCUGAUGGUGCGACGCCGCGUGGGGGAAUGAAGGUCUUCGGAUUGUAAACCCCUGUCAUGUGGGAGCAAAUUAAAAAGAUAGUACCACAAGAGGAAGAGACGGCUAACUCUGUGCCAGCAGCCGCGGUAAUACAGAGGUCUCAAGCGUUGUUCGGAAUCACUGGGCGUAAGGCGUGCGUAGGCUGUUUCGUAAGUCGUGUGUGAAAGGCGCGGGCUCAACCCGCGGACGGCACAUGAUACUGCGAGACUAGAGUAAUGAAAGGGAAACCGGAAUUCUCGGUGUAGCAGUGAAAUGCGUAGAUAUCGAGAGGAACACUCGUGGCGAAGGCGGGUGCCUGGACAUUAACUGACGCUGAGGCACGAAGGCCAGGGGAGCGAAAGGGAUUAGAUACCCUAGUAGUC
rnacentral:rRNA from 1 species